AUUGAACGCUGGCGGCAGGCCUAACACAUGCAAGUCGAGCGGAUGAAGGGAGCUUGCUCCUGGAUUCAGCGGCGGACGGGUGAGUAAUGCCUAGGAAUCUGCCUGGUAGUGGGGGAUAACGUCCGGAAACGGGCGCUAAUACCGCAUACGUCCUGAGGGAGAAAGUGGGGGAUCUUCGGACCUCACGCUAUCAGAUGAGCCUAGGUCGGAUUAGCUAGUUGGUGGGGUAAAGGCCUACCAAGGCGACGAUCCGUAACUGGUCUGAGAGGAUGAUCAGUCACACUGGAACUGAGACACGGUCCAGACUCCUACGGGAGGCAGCAGUGGGGAAUAUUGGACAAUUGGCGAAAGCCUUAUCCAGCCAUGCCGCGGGUGUGAAGAAGGUCUUCGGAUUGUAAAGCACUUUAAGUUGGGAGGAAGGGCAGUAAGUUAAUACCUUGCUGGUUUGACGUUACCAACAGAAUAAGCACCGGCUAACUUCGUG
rnacentral:rRNA from 1 species